rnacentral:misc_RNA from 1 species
GAUGAAGAACGUAGCGAAAUGCGAUACGUAAUGUGAAUUGCAGAAUUCAGUGAAUCAUCGAAUCUUUGAACGCACAUUGCGCCUGCCAGCACUCUGGCAGGCGUGCCUGUUCGAGCGUCAUUUCAACCAUCAAGCCCUAGGCUUGCGUUGGAGCCCUGCGGCUGCCGCAGGCCCCUAAAAGCAGUGGCGGGCUCGCUAUCACACCGAGUGCAGUAGAUUACUCUUCGCUCAGGGCGUGUGGCGGGUUCCAGCCGUGAAACCCCCUACUUCUCAAGGUUGACCUCGGAUCAGGUAGGAAUACCCGCUGAACUUAAGCAUAUCAAUAAGCGGAGGA